GUGUUCGGAUCGCGGCGACGUGGG
rnacentral:ncRNA from 2 species